CCAUAACUCCAUCAUUCCACACUCAACACUACACUCCAUCUCUCCCUCUCUCUAUCUUAAUCUUCUUCAUAUCUUCAAGUCUUGUUCUUGAAGAUUCAACAUCCUUUCUAGUAAACUUCAAGAUAGUGUGAAGAUCUAAGGUUGUUCCCAAGGUGUUGUCAAGUGAAUACAAGCUUCCUAUCAUCCCAUAACUUACUUGAAUCUUGAAGGUAUAACACUUAUAUUUAAAUCAUGCCUUUGGUGAAGUUGCUUAGUGUUGAUUGCGAAUAGGAAGCAUGCUCACUUAGGACCGGACGAGGCCUUAUUGAUUUAAUAAUGAUAUUAGUCUAUGUUUGAUUUGCUUGUUUAACUUUAAAACAAUGUUUAAUAUUUAAUGAAAUGAAACUCUUCGUAUCCAUGGUUUGAAACAAUAAUUCUGUUACAACACUCCCCGGCGUUUCCGCCACGAUUUGUCGUUUUACGUGGUCGGGGUGUGACAGAAGAGUUGGUAUCAGAGC
rnacentral:lncRNA from 1 species